UUGUUAAUGAUGUUUCAAAUGUCUGACCUGAAAUGCCAAUGUAGAGUAACCAAACUACUGAUAUG